AGAAAUAUAGGAUCAAUAAGAAGCUUCUAACUUCUUUAAGGUGGUUCGACUCCAUCAAUUUCUU
rnacentral:tRNA from 1 species